GCAGGCAGCAGCAGACCAGAUUUGCCAGACCCAGCUUCUACUGUCGUUUCUCUUAUUAAAUAGCACAGGGUAGCCCAGGGCAGGUUGUUUCUGCCACGCUUUCUACAUCUUUUACAUGAGAAUGAUUACUGUGAAUCACUUUGCAAACGUUUGACUUCAAAUGAACAAACAAACAAAAAGCAGCAUGCAUUAGUGAAGACUACAGAUGAAGCAUCUAUGAAUCAGAAUUUGGUUGACAUGACUCCCGUGUGAUGAUACAAGGCACACCACGAGGCACACAACAAACCUGCAAGAGAUGUCCCAGCCCCAACCAGAUUGUCAUUGCAGACCCAGAAAGGAAAAUUUGCCAACAUCCUGUAACACUUACCAUGUCAUCACCUCGACAUGAAUUAAAAGACUGAAAUGAGAGACAAACUACAUAACGUUUAAAACCCCAAAGGAAAACAGAAUCCUGGCGUCAUUCAAAGGGAUUUGAGCAAGGAACAGGGACUGGAAGGAGGUGUCUCUGUGGGUGUGUUUUUGUUUUUUGUUUUUGUAUUUUUCUUUUUCCUAAGAAAUCAGAUUAUAAUGUAGAACUUUUUGGCAAGUUAGAC